UAAGGAAUAUUGCUCAAUGGGAGAAAUCCUGAAGCAGCAACGCCGCGUGGAGGAUGAAGGGUCUAUGACUUGUAAACUCCUGUAAAGAAGGAAAAAAUUCCCAUUUGAUGGGAGAUGAUGGUACUUCUGGAGUAAGCCCCGGCUAACUACGUGCCAGCAGCAGCGGUAAUACGUAGGGGGCAAGCGUUGUCCGGAUUUACUGGGUGUAAAGGGUGCUCAGGCGGAUUUGUAAGUCAGAGGUGAAAUCUUACAGCUUAACUGUGAAACUGCCUUUGAUACUGCAAGCCUAGAGUAUGGAAGAGAGUGAUGGAAUAUCUGGUGGAGCAGUGAAAUGCGUAGAUAUCAGAUAGAACACCAAUGGCGAAGGCAGUCACUUGGUCCAUUACUGACGCUAAAGCACGAAAGCGUGGGUAGCAAACA
rnacentral:rRNA from 1 species